AAUACUCCCCUUUUUUAGCCAUAAUAUGACAAAGUUAAGCAUCUAACCAAAACAAAUAAACUAAAUUCUAAAGUUAAGUAGCACAAACAGAAAUACACACAAGGGUGCUUGAAAUCCUGGUCAGAGACCACAAAACAAAACAAACAAAAAAAAACAAUACUACUAUCAGAUAUCUUCUUGCCUAUUUGAGUUUAUAGUAGCACACUCCUCUCCUUCAGCUUCUUUAUCUUCAUCAUUCUCGG
rnacentral:lncRNA from 1 species